UUUUUUUUUUUAUCUGUUUGGAAGAUUGUUAGAUUAUUUUGUUGGGAGUUUUGUCGGGUUCUCAGACUGCUCAUACUAGUUUUGGACAUUCCAUUGUCACAGUUUAUCUGAUUUAUAUUUUUAAUUACUAUAUCCUUUUUGCCUUCUCUGAUUGAUGUUCUUGUUGAGGUUCUGCAGGUAGAUGUCCGGUUAAGGAAUGAAGAUUUGAGAAUUGAUACUUACAGGUCUGGUGGUUCUGGCGGUCAACAUGCAAACACCACCAACAGUGCAGUUAGAGUCACACAUUUUCCCACUGGUAUAACAGUAACUAUACAGGAUGAACGAUCCCAGCAUAUGGUAAAGAGUACUCAAAUGUUGUAGUUUGGAUUCUUUUCUGUUGAGAUCUUUUGCUUUGAACUUCAUUUUUUCCAUACUGUGCAGUAGUGUGCCAAGACAUACUUGUGAAGUUUGCAGCCUUUCUUAGGUUUUUUUUUGACCUUGGCGUGAUUUAUUUGUUUCAAUAUCAUCUAAACAGAGAAAAGAGUUUUUUGUUUGAAAAGUUAAUGAUGCAUGCUUAAUUUUUAUCCACAUUGCUAGUUUCAGCUUUUUGGCAAUUUUACUGCCCUAUCAUGUAAUGUCUUUAGAAACUACCUCUACUUGUUUGUAUAUAGAGAAGGCACUUUAUCAGUUGAAACUUGACUUUCAACCUGGUCUUAGGUAUGAAUCUCAGCAUGGGGGAGAGUUAUCUCUAUUUGUGUAAGAUCUGUGGGUAUGCGCAUGAAGUGGAAAAGAAGCUAGUCUUGCAUAGAUAGCUUUGUAUUUCUGUAUUGACUUGAUUGCAUCCAUGAGGACAGAAAGUUAUAAGUCUUUGAAACUUUCUGGUUACUAAUAUAUAUGGCAUAUUUAAGGUCUCUUAAGUAAAGCAUGCAAUCUAUGGUUAUAUGUUAGAUAUGGACUUUAACUUGAAAGCACUAAAAUAUGAAUUUGGAUGGUUUGCUAAACAGUAUCAUCCAUCGAUAUUUUUAUCCUGGUGCUUUCGUAACUACCCCUUCUUUUUGCUUCCUAUGACAGAACAAAGCUAAGGCCCUUAAAGUACUGUGUGCAAAGCUGUAUGAAAUGGAGAGGUCCAGAAUUCAGACAAGCCGAUCAAAGCUUAGAUCUGAACAGGUAUGGGUUACUAAGAGAUGAAAUUUUAGAUUCUGUCCUUCAGAUCCAGAUGAUUGGGUAUUAAUCACUUUGAUAUUAAUAGAUUGGUAGUGGAGAUAGAUCCGAGCGCAUUCGAACCUAUAACUUUCCUCAAGGGCGAGUCACCGAUCAUCGUGUCAGCAUCACUUAUCAUGCAAUAGAUGAUGUGAUGCAGGGAGAGAAUUUGGAUGUCUUUGUGGAUGCUCUUCUUUUGCAACAGGAAAUGGAUGCAAUUGCAACCUUCAGUUCUGAUCAAUGACGUUUAUUACGGGUAAUGUCUUACCCGUCGCAGAAUUUUAUUUGCCUCAUCAUUUUCACACAUGAAACGGCCAUACCCUUUGUUCUCUUGCAACCUGAAUCUUUAAAAUAUUCAACUUCAUAUUGGUGAUGCAUGGACUAACAGAGAGGAACAGGCAAUUACAUUUUCAUGACAUGUGCUAUCGCCUGUUGUAUCUUUUACUGAUUGUUCUGGGAGCAAUUACAGCUUUACAAUAUUAUUAUGUAGCGUGUUACACAGAUAUUAUAGGCUUAAUUAGAGUUGACAUAUGUAUGGUUGCCCCCACCUGAUUUUUAGCAGACUCGAUAGCCAUGUAUUACAAGUUUGCAAUUAAUAUCUUUUUCCCUUACUAAAGCUGUGACUGAGAAUGGUUACUCAACAUAUUUGCAUCCAAACUACCAACUGGACUAGUAUUAAAGUGUAUUUAAUCUCAUCCAAUCCCUGUUUAAAGAAGCUCGUGGGCAUGAGAUUGACUAGUUUUUAAGUCGUCCUUUGUUGGCAUGUGAGCCAUUUGGGCCACCUAGACACCGACCCUAUAUAAACCGGUAAGAUAACACCAAUCGAGUUGCUUCCACCCAAGAGAAAUUGAUGGCUCAUGCCACUAGACAGACAAAAUUCCAUGAUUGCAAUCCUCCGGCUCCUAAACAAAACCAAAACUAUUAGAAUCAUAUAAAAUUAGAUUGCCUAAAAUAAAAGUCUAUUAGUUUAGCAUUAAAAUCAAAUGACAAAUAUGACUGGAUGGGAUUUGGUUGAUGCGUGGGCGGUGGGGUACGGUUUUCACCUUUCUUACUCGUCCGGCUGAAAUCAUUAUGUGGGGGCAACAACUUCGUCAUGGAAAAUGUCGCUACUUCUUUUCUUAAAAUGAAAUCUUCCCACUUUUUAAUUCUUGACUUGAAACAAAAAUUUUUACAAAAAAAAAAAAUUAUGGACUCACGUGAAGCGAUGAAAAAAAUCAUUAUAUUUUUAAAUCAUUAAGUUGUUAAGUCCUUUUUUGAAGUCGACUUGUGAGUUUCAAGUGACGAGUUAAAAAUCAGUACGGUGGAUCAGUAUUCAUCAAUAAGUAGAAGAUUGUACUUUAAAUUCAAAGUCAAUUUGAUGAUUAGUAUCAGAAAUUGAAGAAGAAAACUGUUUGAGUUUUGGUUUGCAAAUUCGUGACGUUUAAAAUUAUUUUUGAAUUGUAGAAGAGAAGUAAAAUGAUAACUUUCAAUUGGAGUAAUGAUUUUAAUAGUCUAGUGGCUUAAAUGAAAACCUUUGAAUAAUUCGUUGAGUGAUCGAAAUGUAUAUUUACUAAUAGUUUAAUAACUUUAGUUGUAGUUUACCCUUGAUACAAUUAUAUGAUGCUAAUUGAUGUGUUUAUUAGGAAAGCCCUCGAAUAUGGUUAAAAUCGAUUGGGGAGUCCCAAAAGUGUCCGGACUGAAGGAGACAGGUUAACACAUCAAUUAAAAGGCAAACCAAAACCUUACCCUAAGAAAUGAAGAAGGAGAGUUUUGAGUGGCAACGACGGGGUCCAAUAAGGGAAAGAGAAGAGAGGCGGUAAAUGUAUGUUUUCUUCUGCAACCAAGUCUAUUCUACCCAUUAAAAGGUCCUUGAAAAUGACCCCCCGUUCUCAACUGUAGUAAUUACUUGAGAAAAAUCAAGCAAAGAUGUAAUCCUGCCCACAAAAGUCUCUUUCUUUAGUUUCAAGGUAGAAAAAUUUGGGAAAAAUGUGAUAACUUUUUGUUGGCUUCAAGAUAAAAUCUUGGUAGAUUCGUUUCCAUUAUUGGGUUUUAUAAUUACUUUAAUAUUGCAUGUAAUGCUGUAUUUGCCGGAUCUUACAAUAUUUUAGAAUCCGAUGCAAUGCAAUACGUAUAGGCAAGAAAUGGUUAGUGAAAGUCCUCAAGUUUUGUCUGUUUUCCGCCAUUGAUUCUCCUGUUUUAGACCCUGAUUGAUUAAAUUAAUGGUACCAUUAUUUUACGUUGAGUUCAUUUUUAACUUUUUUUAAUAUUUUUUCAUCGCCCAUGGUUAGAUCUAAACUAAAAAAAAAUUCCACCCUGUUGUAUAUUUGACAAAAAGACUCAUCAAAGAAAAAAAAAACAAAAAAGGGGAAGAUUUGCUGCUCAAAACAGGUAUCUGACACCUCCCCAAAGACAUAGGGGUGUUAGAAUCUGGUCUGGAAAAUCAAACUUAGUUUACCCUGUCCAUUUUUUUCUUCGAUGAAUCCUAGAAUGCAAAGCAAUUAUUAUUAAGUCUUUCAUUAAUUGCCUCAAAAGAACCAUUAUUGAAUUCGUCAAAGGAAAAAAGGGGUGACAUAUGGAUAAGUUCCCUGAUGUUCUGUGUGGUUGGAGCUGGGAGGAGAACAAGUUGUUUGAGCUGGCUUUAGCAGUGGUCGAUGAACAACACCCUGAUCGUUGGGAAGUGGUAGCCGGCAUGGUUGGAGGGGAAAAAACUGCAGAAGAUGUGCAUAAACAUUAUGUCAUACUUUUGGAGGAUUUGCAGUUUAUCGAAUCGGGUAAACUCGACCAUAAACUUGCCGAAACUCAGUCCUGUAUUCAACUGGACUGCACUCAAUCUGUAUGCUGGACUGAUGAUGAUAGCAAGUACUCACAAUUCUUUUUCUUUAUUUUCUUCUUCUUCUACCAAUUCUUUUUUAUUCUUUUUCCCCUCUCUAAUCCAUAUUCCUUAUUCACUAGGAUCCUUACAAAUCACAGCUAAAGAGAGCAAAUUUCGAUAUACAUGCAUCUGAGUUUGUUGACCCUAUCAUUUCUUCACGCAUGCAUAGCCAACUGGGCCAAUUCCCCGCUCAACCUUGUCUUGGCCGUUCAUAAAGGGACAAAUACAGGAAUCCUGUUUUCCAGCCCCAGGGAACAGUGCCUCUCAAUCUAGGACUUUUCAUUGUUUCUACUUACCUUAUUUGUUCCGUUUUUUCUUUCUUCUCCUGCAUCGUAAAUUCAUAAUGUCAAAUUUCAUAAGACAGGCAUAUUUCAGAGUGGUUAAUGUGGAUCAAUGAUUCUGCUAUAUUUAUGUGGUUCUACUUCCAUGAUGAUGAAUUUUUAAACCAUAAGCUUUUGUUAUCCUCAUUUUCUAGCAAUCAAUUAGUCUAGUUGUAGGCAGAUUUGAAGUUGUUCCUUGCAUAAGGCCAAUCAGAGUUAAAACAGUGCUUUUUUUAGUUUCUGAUGUUUAGUUGUUUCUCUGCGCCUUACAGCUUGCUGGUUCGAUUAGACAUAAAUUGAUCCCCAGAGCUACUGUAUUGCUGGUUUAUUAUGAAAGCAGAUUUGGUCACUGGUGGCUGUGCCAGAACUUACGUCCCACACGAAUGCAGGUCAUAUUAAUAUAUCAAUUCUAAUGUUAUAUCCCUUGUUCCUUGAUGUAAUCACUCUCUUCAUUGUAAAACAGAAUUUAUGAAAAAAAAAAUCAACUUUGCAAUUUGUAGACAGUAGAAAUGGGUCUUUGGGCCCUGUUUAUUUGAAGCUGAUGUCCCACACUUGUUAUACUACUUCUUCAGUAAAAAAAUUCCAGUUUUAGGGUGGAUUUCUUUCAUGAAGGUUGCAAAUAAUGUGCUAGACUUGUUUUACUCAUCUCCCUAGUGAUUAUUGGUUUGAAUCUUAAACACACUCAACAAAAUUCUAAAUCAUAUUUGCUUAAUAUGGAUGUGAUUUUUACUCUUUGAAGGUGUCUUCCAAUUCCGAAAUCGACAUUAAGGUACCAAGAACUUGAUUUCAUAAAAUAUCAGUACUUUGAAGCUAAAAACACCCAGAAUUUAGAGUGAUAGUUUUUUUUUCCCGAAAUCACGAGAUAACAAGACAAAAUGGAAGCAAAAGCAGAUAACAUUACAUCUGAGGAAAUAAUAAAUCAUCAUUGUUGCAGUCUUGUCCAUUUGCAUGAAGCUAGUUCUAUUCAAAACCCAGAUCAAAGAACACAAGCUUGUUCCAAGCAUAAAACAUCCAACAGUAGUUUACAGUUGGUAAUUGAGGGUGUUGUCCUGGGGUGCAGGUGUGAAGUUCCAUUUUCUGAGAAGAAACCUUUCUUUGCCCAAACAACCUGUAUCAGAAACCUAGUGGCCAUGCCACGGGGUGAAUUUAAAAGCUGGAUUGUGGCAAACCCUGAAAUUCUUCCUCUCCUCUAUCUAUCUCCAGUCUGUCACUUAAAGCAAUGCAGCAUUUAUUCAAGUCUUCUUAUUGUGUCAUUUCCCCCCAAUCAAUGGUGAUAGUGGAAAAAACAAUAAGGUUCCUGGAAAUGGUUGGAGAAUCAAAAUGCAAAUUUCCAUUACCAGUAAAACGAAUAAUCUCUAUCAUGAACCUAUCAUGAACCUUGUUAAAAGGUACCUAUCAUGAACCUGGAUCUAAAUUACAGUCAUAAUAAUAAUUCCAAAAUGGAAUAAGGUGAAAAAGUUAAAUAAAAAAAGAGGGAGGAAAAAAAUGGAGGAGGCAGAGCCAGGGAAGAGGCAGUGCAUGGGCGGAGAAACAACAGAAUCAGUUGGUAGAUCCAUCCAUGCUCAGCCUGUUCCCUGUCUUUGUCUGUCUCUCCCAUCUUUCUCACUCUCUCUCAAUAUUGACUGUUACCUCAUCUUGUUUUGCCUCUGUUGGAAUGCCCCCAAAAAAACCUGCCACUCUGAUGUCUAUGGCUCUAUGCUAUAAUAACCCAAACUCUGAGCUAUUUAAGCUAACCCCCCCCCCCCCCAAUAACGUUUACAGUACAACUUGUACUAAACGGACUCUGUACUACAGUACUAGCAACUUCUUUGAGUGCCCGUUGAACAUACAAGAACCUAUUUUGGUGGGAUGAAUUUGUACUACACUUGUAUCUGCUAGUACUCUCAUAUUCUCCAAUGAUCCGUUGACUCUUACCAAAUAAAUUACUUCCAUAAAAGAAUUUAGUGGUGCCGUUAGCCUAAUGCAACCACUUCAAAUCUUUGAAUAAACAGAUUCAGCUUGUCUUGCAGAUUUCAAAUGGUAUGUUGGAUUAUGAUGAAAAUCAAACAUGGUUGUAUUGAUUGAUAAGAACAAUUCGUAUUCUAUCUAUUUGGAGAAUAUUGGUUUCUUUCUGUAAAAAAAGGAUUACUAUAGGUAUUUGGAAAUGGCGAGCUGGUGGUGAAAUUCAGAUCAAAUGUUGGCUGUCGAUCUAAGAAAUCCACAUGAACUAGAAUUAGGCCGAGCAACCUUAUAGUCAUCCAGCUUAUUGCACCAAGACAAUCACGGUAUGUAAGCUUUUGAUCAACAAUUUAAUUUUGUUCGUUUAUUUUCAUUUACCAAUUUAAACCAAAAUUUACUCGGUUUUUUUUGUUAAUGAACAAAUUUGUUUACGUUCAUUUAAAUUAUUUAAAGUUCAUUUAAAAGCUGAUUUAUUAUUAAAUCAUUAUAUAUUAAUAGAAUUAUUAUCUGGGGGCUUAUUUUAUUUAUUUAUUUAUAGUAUAUUUGAUUUUAUCUAAAAUAUAAUAUAUAUAUUUAAUAUUUGUGAACAUAUUCAUUUAAUGUUCAUGAAAUAUUUGUUUAACUUAAACGAAUAAAUAUGAGAACAAAUAAGCACAAAUACAAAAUUAAAAUUCUUAGUAGGAAGAGGUUUAAAAAUAAGAUUAACAGCUUUAAUCCAAAAUUCAAACUUUCAAUAAAAUUUGAUUCCAAGUUGUUUGUUUGAAAUUAAAUUAAAACUAAAACAAAUAAAAAUUGAAGGAUUUGAAUUGAAGAACAAUAAAAAAGGAUAAAGAAACUAAAUAUAAGUAAAACUGAAAUAAAUGAUAAAAAUGGUAGUUUUAAAAAAACAAAGUUGUAUCUAGUUCUACAUAAAUGAACCAAUCAAUUUCAAGCAUAAUUAAAGAAUUGUAUAAUAUCUCUAAUAAUCAAAUACGAACUUAUCAAAAUCCGUAGUUUAAUAUGUGUGUAGGUCGGAUCAUAUAAGAGCUAAACUCAUCAUCUAAUCCAACAAAUACAUUUAUUUAGAAAGUUGAAGAGUGAGUGAAGAUAAUUUGUAUUAUGGAUCCCUCAAUUCCACCUGUAAGAUCUCUAAGCUACUUGAACAAGCAAAGAACUUUUGCGAACAAAACGAAAACGAAGGUAAAAGGAAGCAUCAUCUACGAAUAUGUAUUUACUUUUCAUUAUAUAUAUUUCAAAAGUGGGGAUGAUGAAUACAUAGGCAACAAAGAAUUUACAAUUCAAAUAUGAAUGAGAUCAGAAGCAUCUCGUUGCCCUUUCUCUCUUUUCUGAUUCCAUUUUCUUUUUAUAUAUCACAAUAUAAAAGUAAAAAAAUUGGGAUUUCUAACCUGAAUGAAUGUACAACUCCCCCAUGCAAAUGCCCUUUUCCAAUAACAAGUCUAGAGAAUCUCUAGACAAAUGAAUAUAGUUCCCUUGGUCUGUUGAAUAUCACAUUUGAUAUUUUAAGAGAUCAGGAAGAGUGAUUUUCCCAGAGUUAUUUGUAUCCAGCUUGCUGAACUGAUUGCAUAUCUGCAAUAUAUCCUUCUCCCUAACCUUCCCCAUUUCUUUGAGCUUGUAAAUGACAUACUCCGAUUUACUGCAACCAGAAAUUUUAAGGUGGAACAUGAACAACAAAAGCAUCACAAGUAAAAGAACUACAAACAAGCCCCAUUAGUCUGCUAGAGAAUAAAUAAACAUCCUCAUGAAUUCAUAGACUACAAGCCCUUUAAUUUCAAACAAGCAGCACAUAGAGUUCAUUCCAAAAUUACCUAGAAAGAUAGAAACCCGACCUGAUAAAACCAUUGUUGUUUAUGUCAGCAGCUAGCAAAUCCUCAAUAGUGAUAUCCCUAUGUAGUACCCACUUGGCAAUCCUCCUAUGCCGCUUGUUAACCCUUGCUUCAGCCAAAUACAGGAAAGCUCUAGCAACAGCCAGCGUCGAAAUCAGGAGCCAAACACCAGCAAACAAGCGUCCAGGCAGAGUCUUAAAGGCCCUGUCCCCAUAUCCAACUGUGGUAACAGACAUAACAGACAAGUAAAUAGAAUCAACCCAGUCCAAGCUCUCCACAAAGUACAAAAUCAGAGAUCCGAUCCCAAUACACAACACCACAACCCCAAGUGCCAAACCGACUUUAAGCCUAAUCCUCAUCCUUCCUUUGUCCACAUCAACAAUGUAAUCCCUAGCUGAAAACCCUUGUUGUGAUUUCUCCAUCUGAAUCCCAGUUAAUAUCAUGUUCUCUUGCAAGUCGAGGACAUAAUUCACAACCCCACUCAACAAUAUAUCAAUAAAACCAAAACCCACCAACACAAACACACAAGCAAAAAUCUUGGUAGCUGGGGUUAAAGGAGCUAUAUCACCAUAACCAAUGGUGCACAUAGUGACUAUACAGAAGUAGAGAGCAUCAACAACCGGGUGAGUCUCGAUACCCGAGAAUUCAUCUCUGUUAAACGAAUAAAUAACAACACCGAGAAUUAAGUAAAUGGAGAGCAAGAAAACAGCUUGCCUGAUAAUGGAGCUGGACUCAGAUUGAGGUUUAGGCACUUGGGGUGUUUUGGGCUUCAAAUCACGCAUGACAGCCAUGGCCGGAGCCGUUUUACAUCGCUUGAGAGAACCGGGCUUCUUUGACCCUGUACUAGGAACAGGAUAAUCAAAACGGGGAGGGGGUUGAAUCUGCGGGUGGUCCUCGAUUUCAGAUUGCAAGAGGGCUGGUGUUGAGAUUGACUGUGGGAUUGUGAGAUAAAAGCCAUGAUGAGAGUCAUCAAGGAUGUGCCGAAAUUCGGGUUUUGAUUGGGGGGAGAGAAAAGGCUCAUCUGCCAUCUCAGAAAUCAACACAACAGAAAAAGAAGCCUUUUACUUUUUUGCGUCUUCAAGAUCGUGGUGGUUGUUGAGAGGUAGUUGGCUUCAGGUUUAAACUUUCGACAUUGUGACAUUGCUUUUAAGGAACACACUCUGCUUUCUCUUUAGUCAAAUAUACAUAAAAAUUAAAAAUUAAAAAUAUACACACUGCACUGCACCUUAUAUACUAUAAUCGUUGUUUGGACGCAAUAUGGAUUAUGUUGCUUCAUUUAGUAAAAUGGUAUAAUUAGGUUCCAAUUGACAACUAUCACUAUUUUAUUCCUAUAAAUACCAAACCAUCCUUUCUUUGUUUAGUCAUCUCAUUUCUCUUGCUUUUGUAGUUCUUAUCCAUUUUAGACUUAAGUAUCAAUAAUAAUAUUGUUUAGUGUAGACAAGUAAAACAAACUUGGGUUAUUUUCAUCUCCAAUUAUUACAUGUUAACCAAAUUCUUUUAAAAUAAAUCUAAAUAACUUCACUUCUAUGCCUCUUUCAUUAGUUAGUGCAAUAAUAUUAUAACUCUUUUCCUACUCCUAAAUAGGAGGAUAAAACACAUUUAAAUACAUUUAAACUCAUGUCCUCUUCUAGUGGCGACAAUACUGAUGUCAACCAAGUUAAGACUUAAUUAAUUGUAUGUAAAUUUGUAGAAGAAGUAAAACUAAUGUAUUACUUUAUGAGUCUUGAUUUGAAUAAAGAGAUAGCUAAAGCUCUUAUCAAAUAGAUAUUUGACAUGGACACGAACUAAGUUACCUUCAUCCCCUAUCUCUGUAUAGAAAAAAGUAUUUCUUUAUGAAACAUAACUUUUGUCCAAAAGAAAAAAAUUCCAAUAAAAAGUUAUUUUAUAAAAGUGUUAAUUUCCGUAUUUUUUUAAAAUAUAUAUUUAUCAAAUAUAUAUUAUCUUUUAUAAAAUUAAAUAAAUUUUAUUUUUUUAAAAUUAAUGAAAUUAUUUUAUAAAACAUUUCAUCAAAUAAAAUAUUUUACAAAAUAAAACGCAAAAAGAAUUUGGUAUGUAUUUUUAUUGGAAUAACAUAUUGAAAAAGAAUUGAAAGUUGGGAAUCAUUUAAAAAAAAAUCAAAUGUAUUCCUUAAAAAUAAUGUUAGAAAUGCAGGAGAAAAAAACAGAAUUUUAAUAUUAAUUUCUGAGUAAGGACCUAAAAAUAAGGGAGGAAAAACUUUUAUAUUAGAAUUUACAAAUGUAAUAGCCUGAUUUUCAGUAAUGUCGGAAACAGUGUUUCGAGGCCACAAAAUCUGGCGAGUAAGUUCGUAAAUUUUAUUAUUUAAUGUUUACGAGUCAAAUAUGGUUUAAAAAAAUUGAAUUAGUAAUUUAUGUCUUAUAAUGAAUUAUUAGAUUCGAAUGAUAAAACCCUAGUUCAAAUGGUUUUAGAAAAUGAGGUAUCGGGACCUCGUUUCUAUAAACUGAGCUGUAAAUAUUUUUAUAAAUAUUGACGGAGUGCCAUUAAGGUAGUAUUAAAGUUUCCUUGAAAAAUUUUAACGUUUCGACAGUUAAUUAAUUAAAAAGGACUAAACUGAAAAAUGUGCAUAACUUGCUAAUUAUAAUAAAAUGACUAAAUGGCUUGAUUAAUAAAUGAAGAAGGACCUAAAUAGCAAUUAUGCCUAAAUGAAAAGAUGUGGCGCAUAACAUGGAAAAAAAUAAUGAAAUAAAGUAAAAUUGUAAUUAAAUUGAAAUUAAAAUAAAAUAAAAGUGAAAUUAGAAAGUUUUUAGGCAAUUCUUUAUUUUUCUCCCAGUUUCCGGUUGCCGUUGAUGAAUCUAUAUGAUUUUAGUUAUUAAAUGAUGAAUUUUAGAUGUUGGUUGAUAUUUAAAAAUAUUUUAUUAAGUAAUUUUGAUGAACUUUUCGAUUAGGGCUAAUUUGUUGAAAUAGUAAAAAUACAAGGGUUUUUUUGAAAUUAUUGAAAAAUUGGGCUGUAUUGAAUGCCGUGAAUAUUUUGCUAGCAUGGGUUUGCAUUAAAUAUGGUUAAUUUGCAUGAUUUGGCGUAGGGACUAAACUGAAUAAAAGUAAAUUUUUAGGGGUAAUUUUGUAAAAAUAUAAAAAUGACCAAAUUGCAUGAAAUGAAUUUUUUUAUUAUUUAAAUUAAUAAAUUGAAUGAAACAUUAAUUUAGAUCAAGAUCGGGUGGAAAAUCGAGGGAAAUGGAAAAUUAACAAAAUGCCCCUAUAUCUUGUUAUUUAUGCAAUUUAGCCUGGUAAAUUCGUAUGAACUAUGUUCUGUAUAAAUUUGAUUAAAGUGAAUGUUAUUUGGUGAUGAAUAUUAUAUAUAUAUGUGUGUUCUAUUGCUGGAAUUGAAUUAUUAUUGGAAAUAUAUUAUCGAAUUUAAUACUCAAUUUGGAUUGAACGCGAGAUUGAGUACAAUUGUUCUGUGGCAAAUGAUGAAUUGACGGAUUAGACCAUAACUGGGUUAUAUUACUAUGAACAUAAGACCAUGGUUGGACCAUAGCAGUGUUUAUAUGUAAGACCAUAGCUGGGUUAUGACAUUCUGAUGAUAUGACCAUAACUGGGUUAUGACACUACGAAUGUAAAGGAUGAGUUGACGACAAAUUACCCAAGCAAACCGAAGUUCAGCAUUUGUUGCGAACUUUCGUGUUUACUUUCUGUUUAGCUCUCAUGAGCUUCUGUUCAACCUUUGAGCUUCUGAAAGCAAUGUACUCAUAUUCGUAAGCCGUUCUUCGAAUGGUAAAAUAACUAGAGUUGUUUUUGGAUGACAUAUGUAUAUGAAGAAACAGUAAGAGAAUGAUAUGUGUCAUGAUAUGUAUAUAUAUCAAUAUCUUGAUAUGUUGAUACAUGGAAAUUAUGUAAGUCGUGAUGAGUAAUAAACUCAAGUGUGAUAUGUUGAUAAAAUAAGUUUAUCAAUAUUGAAUUUAUAUGAAAUAUGUUCAAGUAUGCUAACAAGUGUUGUUGUUGACGCUUAAACAAGUGUCAAGCUACUGGUCAAAUGGUAAUAUGUUUAUUAUAUGAUGCGUUGAAAGGGUAAGUGCUCAAAUGAAAAUAUACUUGUGCUCAUGAAAGAAUGGUAAAUUUUUAGUUAUGCAAUUUCUUAUAAAAUGAGUUGUCGUGUGAUUAAUUCGAAAAAGGUCUGUGUUUAAAUGCACUAGCUUAUAUCUAUGGUUGAAUGAUAUGCUUAUGACUGGUGUGUUAUGCAUAUGGAAUGAGUGUGGAAAGUAAAGAAACGCAAAUGAAAAUAAAGAAAUUUUGGAAAAGUUAAAGUUGUUUAAAAUCUUAUUAUGCUAGGGAUAUCAUGUGUAAGUGAUACUGUAGAUUUAUUCACUUAGUGAGUUGUUAAAUAUAGCUUCAUGAGUAUUGUGGUAGCAACAUUAGAUUAUUCUUGAUAAGUAUAAAUUUCAUAUUUGAAAAGGAAGUAUUAUGAUUAAAGUUUAUACGAGCUUACUAAGCAUCCAUUACUUAUGUAUUUGUUUUCUUCUACUUUUUAGAUUAUCGGAAGCUCGAUUGGGUUGGAAGCUUGUCGGAGAUAUAUCACACUAUCCAUUGGUUAUAUCAGUAUUUUCGAAUGUUUUGAUUUUGGUUAUAAUGGCAUGUAUAGGUAUUUUGUUUAAUGAUGGCUUAUAUAUAGUGUGUUGAGUUUAGCCACUUAUUUUGACUUGUUUUGAAUGUCUAAUUAUGGCUUGUUGAUAUAUGUAAUGUUGAUUGUUAAUAGACACAAAAUUGGGUGAGAAAUAUGGCUUGUAAAAUGACCUAGUUUCGUUCACACGGGCAAAGACACGGGCAUGUGUCCCCUACUUCUAAGAAAAUUUUUGAAAUUUUGGAGAAAAUUCCUUGAAUACCCGGUUUAGUCCCGAUUUACUUCUAAGGUGAAUAUUGGGCCUUAAAGGUCCAUCUAAGGGACAAUAUGAGUGUUAUAUAAUUGAUUCUUAAUAUGUGUAACAAAAGUUGAGAAAUGUCCGUAUUUAAUUCGUAAAGUUUGGUAAUGUUUCGUAACCCUGUUCUGAUAACGAAUGAGGGUUAGGAGUGUUACAUACAAUGUGUAAAAACAUUUUAAAUGAUGUAAUAGGUAUCGAGAUUUAAUAAAAAAACAAAUUUUUAGUACUAGACUUGUUUAACACGGAUUUUAAUAACGUGAUCUCAUCUCUUAUUAUUAAUAUUGUAUAAAAAAUUAUUAUACUAAAAAAUGUAUUAUGAUGUUAAUACCAAUGCUAAAUGAGGCAUUAAUAAUUUAUCAUCGUAUUAUUCAAUAUAAAAUUUAGUGAGUGUAAUUUGUCCUACUAUUAUAAAAUUAAACUAAUUCAAAGCCACCUAACAUAACUUAUUGUGCACGCAACCGCUAUUGGGCAAACUUUAUAGUUUUCCAUUGCCAAAUUGAACUUGAAAGCCAAGAUGAAGAUUAGUCUAGUCUUAAAUACAGAUAUCCAGUAUCUGGUUUUACAUAUAUAAGGAUGGGUGUCUGUUAAAAGGGCAAUCAUCAUUUUCUUAGCCAUAUUCUUUACCAAUGGCGCUCUGUGUUGUGAGAUCAAGGCGAAGCCUAGUGACUCCAUCUCAGCAAACACCAUCUGGCAAGCUUGACUUGUCAUUCAUUGAUAAAGUGCCGGUUCUAAGAUGCUAUACCCGCACAUUGCAUGUAUACAAACAUGGCCCUGAAGCAUCAAAGGUCAUUAGGGAAGCUUUGUCCAAGGCCUUGGUGCCUUACUAUCCACUUGCUGGACGGCUAAAAGAGUCCGAUAACAAUCAGCUUCAGGUUGAAUGUUCGGGAGAAGGUGCCUGGUUCGUCGAGGCAUCAGCUGAUUCUAGCCUUCAUGCAUUCAAUUACUUCGACGAUGCUAAUUUUGACAUUCCUUAUGAUGAACUUCUUCCUGAUCAAGUUCCUAACAGUGAAGGCAUGGAACCUCUUGUACAAAUGCAGGUACCAUAAUUUUGAAUUUAAACCAGCAAUGAUGGUAAUGUGAUUAAGCCUAAUGCAUGCACCGUGCAUGGGUUUUUCUUUUUCUUUGUCUCAGGUGACACAAUUUGCAUGUGGAGGUUUCGUCAUAGGGUUAAUAUUUUGCCACACCAUAUGCGAUGGCUUAGGAUCUGCACAGUUCCUAAACGCUGUAGGGGAGUUCGCGAGAGGUAUGGAACAUCUAAGCGUUGAACCGGUGUGGCAAAGGGACUUUUUUCCAACUCCAACACAAGAAGCAAAUGUUAUCCAAUUGGCAAACUUGCCAGUGCCACCACCCCCGAUGCCUGGCAAGCCGCUAGAGCAUGUGAGCAUUGAUAUUUCCAUGGAUGAAAUCAAUCAGCUAAAGGAACAAUUCCAUGAAUCGACGGGGCAAACUUGCUCUGCUUUCGAAAUCGUGGCUGCUAAUUUUUGGAGCCUUCGAACAAGAGCAAUAAACUUGAAGCCAGGUACUGAAGUCCGGCUUCUUUUCUUUGCAAACUGCCGUCAGCUAGUGGAGCCUCCUUUGCCUAAAGGCUUCUAUGGCAACUGUUUCUUCCCGAUAACAAUCACAGCUCCCUGCGACUUGCUUAAACAAGCAUCAGCAAUCGAAGUGAUUAAACUGAUACGAGAAGCCAAGACUAAGCUACCUUCUGAGUUUGGUAAGUUCAAGAAUGGAGAUUACUUGAGAAAUGGGAAGGAGCCAUUUCUAGCACCUCUAGGGUACACCACUUUGUUUAUAUCGGAAUGGGGUAGGUUGGGGUUCAACCAGGUUGACUAUGGGUGGGGCCCCCCGGUCCACAUGGUUCCAAUUCCGGGCUCUAGCAUCAUCCCUGUUGGCAUCAUGGGAUCGCUGCCAUUGCCUAGAAAGGGUGUCCGCUUGAUGACAUGGUGUGUUGAGAAAGACCAUACCCAUCCCUUCGUUGAUCUGAUGACGAAAUUAGUCUAACAAGUUACCAGUGCUUGAAGUCUUGAACUGCUAUUGCUUUACCCAACGCCAAUGUCAAUAAAACAACACAGCGCCACCACAUGUUCAAAACAUUUGUGCUUUUUAUUUAUUUGUAUUUGGUAUAAUCUUCAAUUUGAUCUUGAAAAUCUUCUCCUUAUUAAAAUUAUCUCAUUCACUUGUGGUCAUUUUCAAAUAAAAUUAUUAUUUCUCAUUAAGUAAAUGCCAUUGUGUGUAGUUUUAUUAGAAAGCAAUUUUCUAUUUUUAUGUUUGGUUCGUAUUUAAGACUUGUGAUUACAUUUCCCAUUAAUAUUAUCUUUUUUUGAAAGUAGUAAAAUAAUCAUAAUAUAACAAUCACAUAAUUAACUAUAUAUAUUUUUAGAAAACUAUUGAUGGUUUAUUUACUUUAUAAUAAUAUAUAAUUAAAUUAAGGCUUUGCUUGUUUCAUUGAAAAUGGUUUUCGAAAAAUGAUUUCUGGAAAAUGACUUACCUUUUUGGAAU
rnacentral:lncRNA from 1 species